AUACGUAGGGAGCAAGCGUUGUCCGGAAUUAUUGGGCGUAAAGAGCUCGUAGGCGGUUCGGUAAGUCGGGUGUGAAAAUCCAGGGCUCAACCCUGGGACGCCACCCGAUACUGCUGUGACUAGAGUCCGGUAGAGGAGCGUGGAAUUCCUGGUGUAGCGGUGAAAUGCGCAGAUAUCAGGAGGAACACCAGCGGCGAAGGCGGCGCUCUGGGCCGGUACUGACGCUGAGGAGCGAAAGCAUGGGGAGCAAACAGGAUUAGAAACCCCGGUAGUCC
rnacentral:rRNA from 1 species